GACGAACGCUGGCGGCGUGCCUAAUACAUGCAAGUCGAACGGACCUUGGAGUUAGCUUGCUAACUUCUUGGUUAGUGGCGGACGGGUGAGUAACACGUAGGCAACCUGCCCUCAAGAUCGGGAUAACAUUCGGAAACGAAUGCUAAGACCGGAUAAACAUUCUUCUCGCAUGAGAGGGAUGGGAAACACGGUGUAAGCUGUGGCUUGGGGAUGGGCCUGCGGCGCAUUAGCUAGUUGGUGGGGUAAAGGCUCACCAAGGCGACGAUGCGUAGCCGACCUGAGAGGGUGAACGGCCACACUGGGACUGAGACACGGCCCAGACUCCUACGGGUGGCAG
rnacentral:rRNA from 1 species